rnacentral:lncRNA from 1 species
CCCGCCACACUGCCGCCCUAAGAGGAAGGAGGAGGAGGAGAAGGGCGCCCACACUGCACCGCUCAUGGCCAGCGUCAUGGCCGUUGCGCUUGCGUUGCCCCUGGCGUCGGGAGGAAGCGAAGAGAGAUGGGAAACAAUUUUUUUACUAAUGAGAAGCUGAAGCUGAGUAUAUAUUUACUGGCCUGAGGUGGUUGAGGUGGACCAACGGGAGGGGAGGAGACGAGGUGGUGCUGAGGUGGACCAAUGGGGUGUAUACCUUCCCUACAUGGGAGCAUCUUGUGUUUGUAAGAGUAAAUAAGUGACAGACAUGCCCAGUACCUCACAAGCGAAUGGACAUCAGACCAUAUCCUUUUGCAAU